GACGUAGGGCGCGAGCGUUGUCCGGAUUUAUUGGGCGUAAAGAGCUCGUAGGCGGCUUGUCGCGUCGUCUGUGAAAUCCCGCGGCUCAACUGCGGGCUGGCAGUCGAUACGGGCAGGCUGGAGUUCGGUAGGGGAGACUGGAAUUCCUGGUGUAGCGGUGAAAUGCGCAGAUAUCAGGAAGAACACCAAUGGCGAAGGCAGCUCUCUGGGACGGUACUGACGCUGAGACGCGAAAGCGUGGGGAGCGAACAGG
rnacentral:rRNA from 1 species